rnacentral:lncRNA from 1 species
GAAAUAGGAUAGAAAGUCGGGCUAUGCCCCUUUGGAUCACAAGUUUUGUUUCAUGCUUCUGACAACCAACAUUCAUUAGCAUAAAACUAGAAUUUCAAAUUUAAGCUCGACAUGAAGUCAUCUUAAGUUGAGAAAACAAAAGAUGUAUAAGAGUAAUUGCUACAGCGGAAGUCUAACAUAUGAAUUUAACUCUAGCCUCAGCUCCG